AGUGGGGGAUAACGUAGCGAAAGUUACGCUAAUACCGCAUAUGCCCUGAGGGGGAAAGGAGGGGAUCGCAAGACCUUUCGCUUUCGGAGUGGCCGAUAUCGGAUUAGCUAGUUGGUGGGGUAAAGGCCUACCAAGGCGACGAUCCGUAGCUGGUCUGAGAGGACGACCAGCCACACUGGGACUGAGACACGGCCCAGACUCCUACGGGAGGCAGCAGUGGGGAAUUUUGGACAAUGGGCGCAAGCCUGAUCCAGCCAUGCCGCGUGAGUGAAGAAGGCCUUCGGGUUGUAAAGCUCUUUCGGACAGAAAGAAAUCGCACGGGCUAAUACCCUGUGUGGAUGACGGUACUGUAAGAAGAAGCACCGGCUAACUACGUGCCAGCAGCCGCGGUAAUACGUAGGGUGCGAGCGUUAAUCGGAAUUACUGGGCGUAAAGCGUGCGCAGGCGGUUUUGUAAGACAGGCGUGAAAUCCCCGGGCUUAACCCGGGAACUGCGUUUGUGACUGCAAGGCUAGAGUGUGGCAGAGGGGGGUAGAAUUCCG
rnacentral:rRNA from 1 species